rnacentral:rRNA from 1 species
UACGAGCGGCCCAAACGUUAUUCGGAUUUACUGGGCUUAAAGAGUUCGUAGGCGGCGCAGAAAGUGGGGUGUGAAAGCCCUCGGCUCAACCGAGGAAUUGCGCUCCAAACUACUGUGCUAGAGGAAGCUAGAGGUGAGCAGAACAGAUGGUGGAGCGGUGAAAUGCGUUGAUAUCAUCUGGAAUACCGGAGGCGAAGGCAGCUCACUGGGGCUUUUCUGACGCUGAGGAACGAAAGCCAGGGUAGCGAACGGG